AAAGUAUCGCUAUUCAUUGUACCUUUGCUUUACAAGAUAGGUCGUCUGGUGAUGCUGAUACUCCCCAAUUACCUAUAUUAAGGCUGAACUACAAACUAUAAUUCGAAGAAUAGGCAAACGAAAAUCAUAAUACUGUAUGAUAUUAUUGAUUUUGAGAGUAGCAAAAAUAAUUAAUAAUUCAUCGUAGCGUUUUUCAGAUAUCACAGAAAACAUACCAUACUCUAUCGCAUAAUCAAAAUAGUUUACGAGCCUUCUUUGACUGCAAGUAACAUAUAGGCAAUGUCGCUUUAUAUUUUGAUACAUAAUUUCUAUAAAAGUUAGGUGUUAUAUGAUAACCAACUCUUCGAAAGGAAGCAUAUGUUUUGCUUUAAUUAAGCUUUAUUGAUAUUUUUACCGUUGUUAAAUAAUAUAUACUAAAGAUCUGACCCAGUUGAAUUUGCUAUCUAUGUUGUAUUGCUUUUUACUAAUACAACCGAACUGCCAAUUUUUACAUAAAUAUUUUAUUAAAUCGGAUUGAGAAGUAAAAAUUAUAAAAUCAUACAUUUAAUAAAAUCC